ensembl:lncRNA
UGAUUUAGUUUCCAUCACUGAAGUACUGCCAGGAGAGGAAAAAUAAAACUACCAUACUGUGGAUGAGCUGCAAUCAAUAGUGGUCGCACAAAAGAGGGAAUGGAAUAUUCAGCCUUUCAGAGCAUCUCAGUAGAAUACCAUCUUUGAGCUGCAGUGAGUCAAUGAGGAUCUGCUUCUCCACUGGACAACAAAAUGUUUUGCAGGCCAUUCUGAGCACUACGCUUAUGGACGUGGUUAUGCUGUUCCCAGACACUGACCUGACUGGAGCAGCGGGAGCUGAACACGCCUGCAAGUCUCUAGCUGCCUUCUGGCCACAGUGUGGGUGUCUGGGAAGGCUGCAGCUGCAGCAGAAGUGGAAGCACAUGGGAAAAUGACUCACCUCCCAGGGGCUAGACAUGGAUUUUCAACCCAGCAGAGCACAGGAAAUAUGACAUGAAGGUGGAGCGUUGUGCUACUCGAGGAACAAAAUGUCAUGGCAAAUAACUGCUUCGAGUCUGGCCUAUUCUUUAACAGACUUGUAGGCUGUGAAGAUCCAGAGUACAAGCCUUUACUCUGGGAACCAUUGCCAAGGAGAUGAUUAUUCAUUAAUGAUAUAAUCUUUGACCUGGAAGCCCUGUGCUCUGAGCACAGCCUGUGAAGCAACAGGGCCCUGGGGACAACCACACGUGUGUUCGAAGUCCAGCGCUGCAGGGAGGUGAGGGGUGCUGACACCAGGUUUUGAAUGGGCUGAGUGGUUUAAUUGAAAAGAGCAGCCAGUCACUGAAGAAAGAGUGAAUAACUCUCUCUGCCCGCCUGCUUUAGUGAGGACACGUUUACCAGGUGCCUCAUGAGGGACUCGAGGAAAAUACCAGAGACACCCAACUCAUUUCAUUUUGAAAACUGUGAAGGAAGAUGGUAGCUGUAGGUACCAGGAAUGUGCUGUCAUUGAAAUACAGUCCCAGUGUUUCUCAGCCUGCUCAUCCUGUGCAGUCUGUGAGAACCAGGGCACAGGGGCAAUGUAAAGUUGGAGCUGGAGAUGCCAGGGCCUGCAGCUGCCUUAGCUCAGGGUCAGCCCACAGCACACGGCUGCCUCAGGGCCCCUGGGGGCCCAGGAAGCCCCAGGUGCAAAUGUGUCUGCGUUGCACAGCUCGGACUCUGGACACACAGAGAAGCCUGUGGUCCCACAGCUUUGCAGGUGAACUAUUGGAAAUACUGAGUUUGGACUGCGGUUUAUCCAAGGUUCAUCAAGCCAGGUACGUUUUUACAAAGCAGAUUGAUUUUUACAGAUAAACCACUUCUGGACUAAAAAAGAAAAACAAGAUAAACUGUUGGAGAGCUCUCAGCUGGGUCCUUGCAUGUGGUCUUAUGUGCUGAAAAGAGAGGAUGCCAAAAGAGUUCAGAUCAACAACACAGGG